UCCAAAAAACGUAUGUAACCAAUCAAAUCCUGAAAUUACUGACGUCCGGCUGACUCUGACCUCAGUCAUUCUUAAAGAAGAACGAUUCGAAAGACCGGGGUUUGAGGUCAUCAAGAACACCGCUAAAAUUAUUCCAGAUCGAAGGGAAGUAUUGAUGUCUUUGUUUUAUCCGCUCUACUAAAAGUGUAAGUAUGCAUAUUUUCACAUUUUUAAUCGUAUUUUUAAUAAUGAAAGUUUGCUAAAAUUGUUUUGUAUAUGUCUAAAAUCUUCCAAAUGCUAUAAUCAUGUUGAUCUCAAACUUAUCAUAGCUGCCAACUCAAGUUUUCAACUCAGUCCCAGUUUUUCAUCACAUCUCAAGAAAAUGGCAUUUAGCGUUGUACAUUUGCUAAUGACCGAUGAAGUGGCUGUCGUCCAAGCAAAUGAGUGUCAAAUGAUAAAAAGGGACAUGUAACUGGCCUUCGUAUAAAGAAAGAAGUCACAUGAAAAGAGCAAUUCUGGAACACAGAGAACCAGAUACAUCCUGAGAGAAUUUUUAAAUUGUUGUCCUGGGAGAAUAUUGUGCUUUCAAAGAAAAUCGGGCCACCAGAGAGGUACCUUGCAAUAUUAUUGAAAAUAUUAUAAAAGACUGGUUGAAAAGUGUUUCAUUUAGAGAAAAGUAUCAUAAACAAAAAGGAAAAUGUACAACAGAAAGAAGUUUGUAAGCAAUGGAAUAAAAAAUUUGUG